AUCACAUUAAAACAUUACACUUCUCAAAAAGUGUUAUUAUUGAAAAGUUGGGUCAAUAUCUUAAAAACAAUACAUGGGCUUUUGAAUAUUGGGCUGACAAUUAUAAUAAGAAAAAAAAAAAAAAACUCUUCUCUCUCUCUCUGAACGAACGAAGUAUCCUAGAUCUUCUCCACCUGGUCUCCUCGCCGACGGUGACUUCGCCGCCAAUCUAAUCGCCGGAAACUGUUGAUGAUAACCUUAUUAUCAAGCUCACGAUUCGUUUAUACUAGUUCCAAUCCCAAGUUCCCAAUUCUUUUUGCCAAAACCUAAACCCAUUUCCUUGUAAGCUUGGAUCGAUCGCUGAAAAAUCUUCCAGUUCGAUCGUUUUACAAGUUUUUCGAUUAGCAAUGUGGUUUUUCAACUCUUCUUCUGUUUGGUUUUUGGAAAGUUUAUUAUAUACAAAGGACUGCCUUGGUUUAUUAAUUACGAUUUAUAGAAAUUGGGGAUUGAUUUUGCUUUGAGUAAAUUUAUGGAUUUUAUUCAAUUUUGCCUGCAUUUUCUGGGGAAACUAUCGAAUUGGUUUCAGCGAUCACAGUGAUGAUAUGUGGAUGGCUUUGCGAAAGCGACAUUUGGUUGAAGAAGGCGCUCAUGCUCCGGCCUAUAUCGCUCUAUCGAAGCCUCUCGUUUCUCAGGUCAAUCAAAAUUUGGGAUACCAAUAUUGGAUCAUUAAGUUGCACACUCUACUGUUGCCUUGGUUUUGUUCUUGACCUUACUAUGAUUCAUGAUAAUAAACCAGUCAUUGCAGUUAGCAGCUCAAGCAACUUGUAUGUCUGGGAUGGUAAACAGGCCUAGGCAUGGGUUGACAGAGAUAGAACUAAAGGAAAAGGAAACAUGUCUUUGGGGAAGGGUAUUGGGUCCUUGUUUAAAGUUUCAAGUGAUUGAUAUUAAUCUGCUUAUAUAAUUUGCUAGUUUUGAAGAAGCCCAUAGACUCCUAAUCAACAUGAUUGAUUCUGGAAUUUUAGCUGAUGUAUGUACAUAUAGUAUUGUAAUUGAUUCUCUUUGCAAAGUGGAGAAAACUGAAAGAGUUAUAUGAACUGAUGUUAUCGAACAGGGUUUACCAGAUUCACUUUGAUCGAAGGCUAUAUGAAGGUUGAUUAAACACAAGUGUUAGUAGUGAGUUCUCAUCAUAUAGUUUAUGUUCCAUAAUUAGCAUUGUACAAAUCAGGGAAUAAGUGGCUGCAUUACCCAGAUUGAUUGUGUUGUGUGUACCAAGACAUGAGAAACCGAGUACAGCAAAGGAUAGCAUAUAUACUUCAAUCAGAAAGGUCCUAUUUUUGAUGUAUCAUUACUUUGCUGCAACUGAGAUAUAUAAUGCGAUCCGUGUCUUUAUUGUUGCAUAUGUUUGGAUGACUGGAUUUGGCAACUUUUCCCACUAUUACAUCAGAAAAGAUUUUAGUCUUGCACGUUUUACUCAGUUGGCUUGGAAAGGCUAUUCUUGAAACCUACAUUUCUCAGUUCCACAUCUGGUUGAGUUUUAAUUAAAUCGAUUCAACAAAUCCUACUUAGCAAUUUCUGCAAAAUCUCUUAGGAACAGUAAAUAGUCCUGGCUUGAUGUGCCCAUAUGAAAGUCAAACUUUAUUGACCUCAAGAGUUUUAUCUGAGACUAUAAUUAUGGUACUUCCUACUAUAUAAAGUUUCUUCGGAGUAUACCACAUGAUCCAGUGAUGACAGAUUCGAGUUCGACUACAAAAUUUUACAAGUUUUUUUUUUUUUUUUUUUUGUGGUGUACUACUUUUAUAUAUUAGCUUAAAUUUUUAGUUAAUAUUUUAGAAAUGUUUUGUAUUGCACUUAAUUACUAAUGUAAUGAUAUUAAUAUUUUGUGAAUAUUUGUUUUUGUAAUAUAUUUUAUCAAAAUAUAUACACAAUAAAAUAUAUUAA